rnacentral:rRNA from 1 species
UACGUAGGGGGCUAGCGUUGUCCGGAUUUAUUGGGCGUAAAGAGCGUGUAGGCGGCCAGGUAGGUCUGGUGUGAAAACUCGAGGCUUAACCUCGAGAUGUCAUCGGAAACCAUCUGGCUAGAGUCCGGAAGAGGAGAGUGGAAUUCCUGGUGUAGCGGUGAAAUGCGCAGAUAUCAGGAAGAACACCAAUGGCGAAAGCAGCUCUCUGGGACGGUACUGACGCUGAGACGCGAAAGCGUGGGGAGCGAACAGG